UUGGAGGGCAAGUCUGGUGCCAGCAGCCGCGGUAAUUCCAGCUCCAAUAGCGUAUAUUAAAGUUGUUGCAGUUAAAAAGCUCGUAGUUGAAUUUCGGGGUUAGUAGGUUGGUCAUGCCUCUGGUAUGUACUGGUCUCACUGAUUCCUCCUUCCUGAUGAACCGUAAUGCCAUUAAUUUGGUGUUGCGGGGAAUUUGGACUGUUACUUUGAAAAAAUUAGAGUGUUUAAAGCAAGCUAACGCUUGAAUACAUUAGCAUGGAAUAAUGAAAUAGGACGUUCGAUCCUAUUUUGUUGGUUUCUAGGAUUGACGUAAUGAUUAAUAGGGAUAGUUGGGGGCAUUAGUAUUCAAUUGUCAGAGGUGAAAUUCUUGGAUUUAUUGAAGACUAACUACUGCGAAAGCAUUUGCCAAGGAUGUUUUCAUUAAUCAAGAACGAAAGUUAGGGGAUCGAAGACGAUCAGAUACCGUCGUAGUCUUAACCAUAAACUAUGCCGACUAGGGAUCGGAUGAUGUUAUUUUUAAUGACUCAUUCGGCGCCUUACGGGAAAC
rnacentral:rRNA from 1 species